AAGGCCUUAGCUUAAUUAAAGUGUCUGGGUUGCAGUCAGAAGAUGUGCUAGGAUGGUACAGGUCUUA
rnacentral:tRNA from 1 species